rnacentral:rRNA from 1 species
AUUGAACGCUGGCGGCAGGCCUAACACAUGCAAGUCGAACGGUAACAGGAAGAAGCUUGCUUCUUUGCUGACGAGUGGCGGACGGGUGAGUAAUGUCUGGGAAACUGCCUGAUGGAGGGGGAUAACUACUGGAAACGGUAGCUAAUACCGCAUAACGUCGCAAGACCAAAGAGGGGGACCUUCGGGCCUCUUGCCAUCGGAUGUGCCCAGAUGGGAUUAGCUAGUAGGUGGGGUAACGGCUCACCUAGGCGACGAUCCCUAGCUGGUCUGAGAGGAGGACCAGCCACACUGGAACUGAGCCCCGGCCCAGCCCCCUGCGGGAGGCAGCGGUGGGAAAUAUUGACAAAGGGGCGCAAGCGUAAUGCAGCCAUGCCGGGUGUAUGAAGAAGGCCUUCGGGUUUUAAAGUCCUUGCCGCGGGGAGGAAGGGAGUAAAUUUAAUACCUUUACUCAUGAACGUUACCCGCAGAAAAAGCCCCGGCUAACUCCGU